rnacentral:rRNA from 1 species
CAGUCGCCGCGGUAAUGCGUAGGUGGCGAGCGUUGUCCGGAAUUAUUGGGCGUAAAGGGAGCGCAGGCGGACAUAUAAGUCCAUCUUAAAAGUGCGGGGCUCAACCCCGUGAGGGGAUGGAAACUGUAUGCCUUGAGUGCAGGAGAGGAAAGCGGAAUUCCCAGUGUAGCGGUGAAAUGCGUAGAUAUUGGGAGGAACACCAGUGGCGAAGGCGGCUUUCUGGACUGUAACUGACGCUGAGGCUCGAAAGCCAGGGGAGCGAACGGGAUUAGAUACCCCCGUAGUCCCUGUCUCUUAUACC